ACAGUGGUGCAAGAAAGUACUCAACUAAAUCCAUGGACUGAACACACUUGAGAUAAAAUUUGAAACACACAAACAACAAGCAUAUUUUCCCCUUUACAAAUGUGACAGUGACUCACAAACACACACAUUUUGAGGCAGAAUGAUGCCACACAUUGGGUAUGCAAAUCUUUGACUUCUGUUAUAUAUAUCUGUACAGUAUAUACAAUUUAAUUACUAUUGUAGUAAUUAUUAUAGUAGGCUUCUAACAAGAAUUUCACAAUAAUUUAUAUUUAAAAAAAAAGACAUCCUAAGCUCUAGGGCUAGGCAGAGAGAGAUACAGUAAAUUGAACCAAGACAUAAUGCAGUCUAAAGAUAUGGUCACCCCCACUGUUUGCAGCCCAGAUGGUACAUCCCAGUCCUUCUCCUUUACCUCCCUCUGUUUUCACUGUGCCCUCCAUCACUCUACUUACUCUCACUCUCUGUCUUGAGGACAUUACUGAGUUCCGGCUGACAGCCUUUGAGCAGCAAUUCCAUCCCUCCAUCCUUCCGGCCAUUGUUACAGAGCUGUUGGAGAGGAGAACAGAAUAGCCUGAGGUAAAGCAGUGCUGACCUGAAAGACACUCCUGACCAACCCCACCUGUUUCUGGAUCCUAUGGAAGCUAAGGCUAAGAGCGGGGCACCAGCGCCCAGGGCAUCCUCUAAAGCAGAGAAGACGGAGAAGAAGGAGGCAGCUCCCCCUAAAAAGGUUGACCCCACUCAAGUAGAGCCUCCACCCCCAGCGGCCCCUGUGGAAGAGCCUCAAGUGGAGGAUGGCUCAGCUGAACCAGAGGGUGCACCAGAGGGGGAAGAGGCAGCAGAGGCCAGCACAGACUCCCUGGAAAGCCUGAAGCCCUUCCUCAUUGGUGGUGCCAUCAUUGCUGCUGGUGCCAUCCUGUUGGGGGCACUGUUGUUGGCACGAAGAAAUUAAUCACCACCACUCAUCAUCAAAACCUAUUGGUUGAUGGGUUAACGAGUCACUUGCUGAUUGGUUCAUAGACUAUCAUGCAGCUGGUAGAGAUGGGGGAUGGGGAGCCACUUUGCUUCUUAAGUUUAUUUCAGUCUGACCUUGCUUGUAGUGAAUAUACACAUCAGUGAACAUUCAAGUUAUACAUUUUUGGGCCCCUGCUAGUAUACUCACGCAUGAAUUUGCUCCACCCCUCUAACUGCACCUACUUAUAGGUCUACAGGCUUUUAAUCACCAUACAAAUGCACUCCAACAGUUACACUGGACACACACAUAUAUACAGUACUUGAAUACCCUAUUUAUCCAGUAUGCACUGAAACAUUUUGAUGUUUCUGGGUCUACUAAUACAUAAGUUAGUAGUAGAAACACAGUAACUUUAUAUUGUUUGAUUUGAAAAAGGUCAUAUGAAGUAUAUUAAACAUACUAUUGUGAGUGCUUAGCAGGUUUGGGGUCAAUUUAAUUUAAAUUCCAGUCAAUUCAGGAAGUACACUGAAAUUCCAAUUCUCUUGAAUCCUUUUCAAUAUAGAACAUUUGGAAUUUGAAUUUUGUUUAAUUUCUGAAUGGAAAUUAAAUGGAAUUGAUCCCAACCCUGGUGCCUAGUAUGUGCUAUUUUUAUGCUCGUAUUGCUUUUGCUGUAAAUACCUGGUCCCUGCAGAUUAGAUGUGAACCCUUUUGAAUAACGGUUUUAGACCAGGAGAUAUCGUUAUAUCAAUUCAGGGGAAGUUGCAUGGUUUAGAGAAGGCUGUGUGUAAGUGAUGUCAGUAAUGUCAGAUAAUAGUGUGACAGAUGAAGUAACUUAAAUAAUUGUAUGUGAUAUACUUCCAUUUCAGUCUCUACUGAUGCUGAGGUAAUAACAUUUCAUAGUCAAAUUGCCCCUAUAUCCCAAAUCAAUAUGUACAUUGAGAUUAUAGUCAAAGUUAUGCCUGGCUGUCUGCGUUUACUGCCCCGGUGACACAAAUGGAGUAUAAACCAAAAGCAUAUACACUAAAUUGCCAAACCUAUUGCCAAAAAUAUUAUAUUUUAACCCUGUGUGUUGACACUGAAAUCCCUUGGUGUGUCCAUUUGUCAAAUGUAUUAACAGCUUGCAUACUACAAUUUCUCUGGAGCAAUAGUGUAGCCUCUAUUUAUUUGAAGACCAUACAUGUUAGAGAGUGUUAGUGCGAGAGACAGUGCAGCUACUGUAAUAGUACUGUACAUUGUAUGAAUUUUGAUUCAGAAUGAAAAUAUUCUACAUGCAAUAUGUGGUGUACCAAUCAAUGUAUGUAGUAGCUUGGCCAGUCAUGCUCACCCAAUCAGCAUAUACACAAAUAUAUUACAUCCAUCUCCAACCUCCAGGAAAGCCUUGAAAGUAUGAUGAAAUGAUGAUAAUACAUGCAUUACAGUGUAUUUUGUAAUACAUUCAUAUUUUUUGAUAGUUUGAUGAACCUAGAAUUCAAGUAGAAAGCAUGCAUUAUUGAUGGGAGUAGAGAAAUAGCUGGAUUUAUUUAGUAGAUCAACUGAGAUUGUUUCCUCUUUUGUUUCCCUAUUCAUUACAGAGAAGCUCUCCUAUUUUUGAUAACAUACAAACAGUUUAUUUUAUUUUAUAAGAGGCCUAGGAGAUUUUCAACACCCAAUCAAACAUCUUGCUUGAACACUGGCAUGUAGCGUACCAUGAUGCAAUAUCAAUACCUCCAGCACAGCAACAGAAGACACAUAUUCUGCAGAUACAUGUUCAAAUAGCCUAGUCGUCACAGAGUACUAAAUAAAAUCGAGCAGUUAUUUUCCUUGGUCUCAAAGAGCGUAUAAAUGCAAUAAUUCCAGUAGGACUACACAUUUUAGCACAUGUUCUGUAUGAUAUUAAAAUAAUGGCAAUGAUGGUGAAAUGUUGAUGGGUAAUACUAUUGUAAAUGGAGAAUGGGAACCAGAUGAUGGUGAUAGCGGUGAUUAUGAUGGGGAUUAAACCUAUAUUUUCUUGAUAUCCCAGCUCCCUAUGACAUAUUUUCCCUCUUGCACACUUAAUCCCCUGCCCCCAAAGCUCCUUGUGUAAAUCCAAAUGGUUGUCUUGUGACUUGACCUGACCUUUAUUAAAGGCAAUGAACACGCUUG